rnacentral:rRNA from 1 species
GAUGAACGCUGGCGGCGUGCCUAAUACAUGCAAGUCGAACGAACGGACGCGAAGCUUGCUUUUCUGAUGUUAGCGGCGGGCGGGUGAGUAACACGUGGAUAACCUACCUAUAAGACUGGGAUAACUUCGGGAAACCGGAUCUAAUACCGGAUAAUAUUUUGAACCGCAUGGUUCAACAGUGAAAGACGGUCUUGCUGUCACUUAUCGCUGGAUCCGCGCUGCAUUAGCUAGUUGGUAAGGUAACGGCCUACCAAGGCAACGAUGCAUAGCCGACCUGGGAGAGUGAUCGGCCACAUGGGAACGGGGACACGGACCAUAGUCCUACGGGAGGCAGCAGUAGGGAAUCUUCCGCAAUGGGCGAAAGUCUUACGGAGCAACGCCGCGUGAGUGAUGAAGGUCUUCGGAUCGUGAAACUCUGCUAUUAGGGAAGAACAUAUGUGUAAGUAACUGUGCACAUCUUGACGGUACCUAAUCAGAAAGCCACGGCUAACUACGUG